UCUCAGGGUAAUUUUAUUGAAAGUAAAGAAGAAUUCCCAAACACAGCUGUAAAAAUGGAAGCUGGCUGGUGGUACUAGGGAACCCGUUUAAAAAAUAAUUUCUAUUGGAUCUUGUAUCAAUUUUUCCUGUUAUGGACUAUCUCAAAAUUUGAUAAUUUGUGGAUAAGAACAAGUAGCACAUGAUCUCGGUUAUCUAAUUACCUGCUUUCCCUGUUGGACUCAAUGCUGUGUAAGGAAAGAAAAACGUUAGCUUUCUUACACACCAAAAAUAUUCCCAGAGCUUGUUAAGAUGUUAGGAACAUCCCAGUUUCUUAAGAAGUAUUUGCUGAAGACAUGGAUCUCUCAGUGAAAAAUAACUGAUGGGAUUUUACCAGCACUGGAACUGUGAGCAUGAGCAAUGAUAUGUCCCCUGCAAGAUGAGUUUUUAUGGAGCAGAUGAUGAGUUAAGCAGCAUGGAAAAAGAUGUGUUUUCAAAAGAUAGUGUUGGGCCAUGCCAUAAUGAAUCUUAGAGCCAGAAGUUACAUGAGAAAGAUGUAGAUUUUGGUAUAGGGCCAAGGACUGGCAAGGAAAAUCCAAUUCAGACCAAUCUCCCUAUAAUGAUAUAUAUAGGUUUGGAAAAGGAAAUCUGAAACCAUUUUGAUUUUCUAUCCCAUAAUAUAAUAAUAUAUAAUAUACUGCUAUUCUUCUAUGCUCUUAAAUCGUCUUUUAAACAGCUUUCAGGAUGUGUAUUUAUGAAAAAUAGAGCUGGUGUUCAAAUGCCCUCAUUAUCAGGGCAGUAAUCUUCCCAAGUACUAGACUCCAAAAUGGAAUACAUUAAAAACAGCCAACUUAAAAUAGAACUUAGUUCUUCAUGAUUAUGUUGAAAAUUUAAGUAAAAUAUGUUAUUAAGGAAUUGUUAUAUUCCAGAAGUGAGGAAAGGUAAAGCAAGGGCUAGACCACAACACACCAGAGGGCUAGACCACAACACACCAGAGGGACAGAGGGAAAAAAAAAACAAUAGAUUCACCCAGUUCAGUAGUUUCAGAUAUAGUAAUUUACAAGAUAAUUUCUCUAUCCUGGUAAUCUGGCUAAGGCAAAUGAGGUUCUUUUAUUUCUACCUUAGUUAUUAAUAUCAAAUGUCUUAUAAUGCAUCUUACAGCAAUGAAUCCGUAUGAGAGUAUAUCUAGAGGCAUGCAUGUGGCUUACCGAAUGAAUUUAAGGGAAAGAGGCAGCAUUGGAAACAUCCUAGAAGUAGGUUGAUGGGUAAUGUCAAUAGAGUCUGUAUGGGUAAGAUAACUGAGAACUCAGGUCAGUAUAAAAAAUAAUUCAGAUUGGUGCAAGGGCCUGCCGUCACAUUGCUAGAUGUCCAUAAUUUUAUGGGGUUCACGUGAGGGAAAUACAGCCUCUCCUUGUUCUAAUAAGCCAUAUGAGUUCUUGUGUCUAGUUUCCUUGCUUUUUUUUUUUUUUUUUUUUAAGAUGCCCAUGUACCCUCAAAGUCUCAAUUUAUCCCCAUAAACGUAAAAGUUGGCACCCUUUCUAUAACCUGGAUUAGGUCAUUUUUUCAGAGCUGGAUGGAUAGUGCCCAACGAAUAUGGUAACACCAGGGGCCAUAGCCACCCAUCUGUAAAAUGGAGCAAAAGGCUGUUUGUGAAAUAGAGAGCACAGCCUGAAAAACAGAACAAAACAAAACAAAAC
rnacentral:lncRNA from 1 species